rnacentral:rRNA from 1 species
UACGUAGGGGGCAAGCGUUGUCCGGAAUUAUUGGGCGUAAAGAGCGCGUAGGCGGUCCGAUAAGUCGGCUGUGAAAGUCAGGGGCUCAACCCUUGAAAGCCGGCCGAUACUGUCGGACUAGAGUCCGGAAGAGGCAAGUGGAAUUCCCAGUGUAGCGGUGAAAUGCGCAGAUAUCGGGAGGAACACCAAUGGCGAAGGCAGCUUGCUGGGACGGUACUGACGCUGAGGCGCGAAAGCGUGGGGAGCAAACAGG